GAUGAACGCUGGCGGCGUGCCUAAUACAUGCGAGUCGAGCGAACGGACGAGAAGCUUGCUUCUCUGAUGUUAGCGGCGGACGGGUGAGUAACACGUGGAUAACCUACCUAUAAGACUGGGAUAACUUCGGGAAACCGGAGCUAAUACCGGAUAAUAUUUUGAACCGCAUGGUUCAAAAGUGAAAGACGGUCUUGCUGUCACUUAUAGAUGGAUCCGCGCUGCAUUAGCUAGUUGGUAAGGUAACGGCUUACCAAGGCAACGAUGCAUAGCCGACCUGAGAGGGUGAUCGGCCACACUGGAACUGAGACACGGUCCAGACUCCUACGGGAGGCAACAGUAGGGAAUCUUCCGCAAUGGGCGAAAGCCUGACGGAGCAACGCCGCGUGAGUGAUGAAGGUCUUCGGAUCGUAAAACUCUGUUAUUAGGGAAGAACAUAUGUGUAAGUAACUGUGCACAUCUUGACGGUACCUAAUCAGAAAGCCACGGCUAACUACGUG
rnacentral:rRNA from 1 species